rnacentral:lncRNA from 11 species
GAAGUGGGUUUAUGGAAGCACGUGGGAAAAUAAACUCUUAAAAUGCCAUCACGUUUCUACACCCUCCCCCUUUACACCCUCCCCCUUUACCCCUUUCAUCUUUCUUUUUACAUAUAUGGCUAAAAACAGGCAAAAAUUAUUUUUACAAUAUAACUAAACUAGCUACAGAUUUUAAAACCUUUGAUAGCAUACCAUUGCAAGGCAAUUACAGUAAGCAUUGCACAUUUGCAGCUAGAGCACACAGAGGCCUCAACAGCACCACCGAAAAGAGCCAGAAAGACCAAUAGCCAGGAGCUUGGAAGGAGGAGGCAACGUUCGCUUGUUGUGGGCUGCCUCUGACCUCAGCUCCUGGUGCAGCCUGAAGAUUUGGACAGGAUCCUUGGAGAGGUGAGCACUACCAUAUGUAUUCUAGUUCCUUGCCCUUUCUGGGGGGACUGGCAGAG